ensembl:snRNA U5 U5 spliceosomal RNA
AUACUCUGGUUUUUCUUCAUUUCGUAUAAAUCUUUCGCCUUUUACUAAAGAUUUCCGUGGAGAGGAACAUUUAUGAGUUUCUAUUCAAUUUUUUGAGGCUUCACUUCAGUGAAGCU